UAGGGAAUAUUGCGCAAUGGGCGAAAGCCUGACGCAGCAACGCCGCGUGAGUGAUGAAGGCCUUCGGGUCGUAAAGCUCUGUCGGAGGGAACGAAUGCUCUUGGAGUUAACAGCUUCAGGAGGUGACGGUACCCUCAAAGGAAGCACCGGCUAACUCUGUGCCAGCAGCCGCGGUAAUACGUAGGGACCAAGCGUUGUUCGGAUUUACUGGGCGUAAAGGGCGCGUAGGCGGCAUGACAAGUCACUUGUGAAAUCUCUGGGCUUAACCCAGAACGGCCAAGUGAUACUGUCGCGCUAGAGUGCAGAAGGGGCAAUCGGAAUUCUUGGUGUAGCGGUGAAAUGCGUAGAUAUCAAGAGGAACACCUGAGGUGAAGACGGGUUAGCUGGGCUGACACUGACGCUGAGGCGCGAAAGCGUGGGGAGCAAACAGGAUUAGAUACCCCCGUAGUCCCUGAGCGGGCUGGCAAGGCGCAU
rnacentral:rRNA from 1 species